CAGCAGUAAUAAAUGCAUUUUCAUCUUCUCUUAACGUUAAAGCUUCAGCCUGCCUUGGAUGAAGUGAAGUUUGUUUCUAUCACAAUUCCCAAGCAAGAGAGGGAUGUUCUGUUUCCUAAUUCCAGAGAUUUUUCGCCCUUUGGAUUAAAUGCAUUUCUGACUAUGCUUCCAAAUUUACACCCCUGGAGAAAAAAGAAAGGCUUCUUCUCAGAGUGGUAAGACGAGGAUACUCUUAGGUUAAUGAAUGAUCGCAGUUGGUUUUGAGAACUAAUAAUAUGUUUUAUUGUAUUUUUUUCCAUGGGUUUUUCAAAUGGUGACCUUAACCUAAAAUAUCAGUAAAUGGAAAUUACAUCCUUCAGAAGUUCACCUAGACAGCAUCAAGCAUUUGGUGAAAUGAAUAAAAGGGAAAAAAAAAUAAUGCACAAUACAAAAGUAUCAGAAGCGAUAUGUUGAUCCAGAAAGGAAAUAUACUUUUAUCACUAAAUCUUGAAGGGAUUUACCUCAAUUUCUACUUAACCUACUUUUAUUUAAAGAAGAGAACUUCAUAUUGGUCAUGUGAUAUUUACCCAAGUCACAGGUAUCUUAAACUUUGUGUAUUGUGUUUAAGCCCCAAUAACUACAGAAUUUCUUUACUGACCAUUUGUUACAGACAAAACAGCAACGAUUUAUAUCAAACGAGCAAUAGAAAAGGCAAAUGGAAAGAUACAGUGGAUGAUAAAAAGGUGUUAGAGUAA
rnacentral:lncRNA from 1 species